UACAGAGGGUGCAAGCGUUAUUCGGAAUUACUGGGCGUAAAGCGCACGUAGGCGGCUUAGUAAGUUCGGUGUGAAAUCCCUGGGCUCAACCCAGGACGUGCACCGAAUACUACUUUGCUGGAGUACAGGAGAGGAGGGUGGAAUUCCAGGUGUAGAGGUGAAAUUCGUAGAUAUCUGGAGGAACAACAGAAGCGAAGGCGACUCUCUGGACUGUCACUGACGCUGAGGUGCGAAAGCGUGGGGAGCAAACAGG
rnacentral:rRNA from 1 species